rnacentral:rRNA from 1 species
AGCAGCCGCGGUAAUUCCAGCUCCAAUAGCGUAUAUUAAAGUUGUUGCAGUUAAAAAGCUCGUAGUUGAACUUCGGGGUUCACCCAUUGGUCAGGCUUAAUUGUCUGCACUGGUGAGAUGAAUCUCUACCUUCUGAGGAACUUUCAUGCCAUUUAUUUGGUGUGAUUGGAAAUCAGGACUGUUACUUUGAAAAAUUAGAGUGUUUAAAGCAGGCUAACGUCUGAAUACAUUAGCAUGGAAUAAUGAAAUAGGACGGAUUGAUUCUAUUUCGUUGGUUUCUAGGAUCACCGUAAUGAUUAAUAGGGAUAGUUGGGGGCAUUAGUAUUCAAUUGUCAGAGGUGAAAUUCUUGGAUUUAUUGAAGACUAACUACUGCGAAAGCAUUUGCCAAGGAUGUUUUCAUUAAUCAAGAACGAAAGUUAGGGGAUCGAAGACGAUCAGAUACCGUCGUAGUCUUAACCAUAAACUAUGCCGACUAGGGAUCGGACGCAGUUAAUUUUAUAAAUGACGUGUUAC